rnacentral:rRNA from 1 species
CAAUAGCGUAUAUUAAAGUUGUUGCGGUUAAAAAGCUCGUAGUUGGAUUUCUGCUGAGAACGACCGGUCCGCCCUCUGGGUGUGUAUCUGGCUCUUUCUUGGCAUCUUCUUGGUGAACGUUGCUGCACUUGACUGUGUGGAGCGCUACCCAGGACUUUUACUUUGAGGAAAUUAGAGUGUUUCAAGCAGGCAUACGCCUUGAAUACAUUAGCAUGGAAUAAUAAUAUAGGACCUUGGUUCUAUUUUGUUGGUUUCUAGAACUGAGGUAAUGAUUAAUAGGGAUAUUUGGGGGCAUUCGUACUAACCGGUCAGAGGUGGAAUUCUUGGAUUCGGUUAUGACGAACGACUGCGAAAGCAUUUGUCAAGAAUGUUUUCAUUG